GACGAACGCUGGCGGCGUGCUUAACACAUGCAAGUCAAACGACGAAGUUCCUUCGGGAAUGGAUUAGUGGCGAACGGGUGAGGAACACGUGAGAAACCUGCCUUUCACUUUGGGAUAACUCCGGGAAACCGGGGCUAAAACCGAAUACUCCGUCUCGGCGGCAUCGCUGAGCCGGGAAAAAAUUUUGAUGAAAGAUGGUCUCGCGGCCUAUCAGCUAGUUGGUGAGGUAAUGGCUCACCAAGGCAACGACGGGUAGCCGGCCUGAGAGGGCGACCGGCCACACUGGGACUGAGACACGGCCCAGACUCCUACGGGAGGCAGCAGUGGGGAAUAUUGGGCAAUGGGCGCAAGCCUGACCCAGCGACGCCGCGUGAGGGAUGAAGGCCUUCGGGUUGUAAACCUCUUUCAGUAGGGAAGAAGCGAAAGUGACGGUACCUAAAGAAGAAGCACCGGCUAACUAUGUGCCAGCCGCCGCUGUAA
rnacentral:rRNA from 1 species